rnacentral:lncRNA from 1 species
CUCGGGGCAGCUCAUCUCUGCCUGCGCCUGUGGGUGUGGUUUCUGACAGAUGGCCAGGAGCCGCUUUGUCCCAGUCACCAGGAACUAGUCAUUUCUUCCCUGGCUCCGAGCUGGAGGGUUCUUCUUGGCCGACUGUCUUGCCAGCUUCUCGACAUGGCUCUCAAGGAGAGACUCAGGACCUGGAAGAGAGUCUUCUGCUGGCUGAUCCUGCUUGCGUUUGGCCUCUUAGGGCUGCUCCAGUAUGGGCUCCCUCUAGUCAGGCAUCUGGAAGCCCUCAUCCCCAUGGGUGUCUGCCCUUCUGCCAGAAUGGCCCUGCUGAGAGACAACUUCACGGGUCUCCUGAAUCCCUG